UACAGAGGGUGCAAGCGUUGUCCGGAAUUACUGGGCGUAAAGGGCGCGUAGGCGGCCUGCUAAGUCGAACGUGAAAUCCCUGGGCUCAACCCAGGAACUGCGUCCGAUACUGGUUGGCUUGAAUCCGGGAGAGGGAUGUGGAAUUCCAGGUGUAGCGGUGAAAUGCGUAGAUAUCUGGAGGAACACCGGUGGCGAAGGCGACAUCCUGGACCGGCAUUGACGCUGAGGCGCGAAAGCCAGGGGAGCAAACGGG
rnacentral:rRNA from 1 species